UACGAAGGGGGCUAGCGUUGUUCGGAUUUACUGGGCGUAAAGCGCACGUAGGCGGAUUGGUCAGUUAGGGGUGAAAUCCUGGAGCUCAACUCCAGAACUGCCUUUAAUACUGCCAGUCUCGAGUCCGGAAGAGGUAAGUGGAACUCCUAGUGUAGAGGUGGAAUUCGUAGAUAUUAGGAAGAACACCAGUGGCGAAGGCGGCUUACUGGUCCGGUACUGACGCUGAGGUGCGAGAGCGUGGGGAGCAAACAGG
rnacentral:rRNA from 1 species